rnacentral:tRNA from 1 species
GCGCGGAUGGUGGAACUGGUAGACACGCAGGUCUCAGAAGCCUGAGCCCAAAAGCAUGGGGGUUCAAGUCCCCCUUCGCGCA